rnacentral:rRNA from 1 species
UACGGAGGAUCCGAGCGUUGUCCGGAAUUACUAGGCGUAAAGGGCAGGCAGGCGGAUCCAUAAGUUUAUCGUUUAAGGCGUCGGCUUAACCGGCGUAGGGCGGUAGAUACUGUGGAUCUGGAAUGCGGUUGGGGAAGACAGAAUUCCUGGUGUAGCGGUGGAAUGCGCAGAGAUCAGGAGGAAUACCGAAGGCGAAGGCAGUCUUCCAAGCCGUUAUUGACGCUCAACUGCGAAGGUGUGGGUAUCAAACAGGAUUAGAUACCCGCGUAGUCCCU